rnacentral:rRNA from 1 species
CCUACGGGUGGCAGCAGUGGGGAAUAUUGCACAAUGGGGGAAACCCUGAUGCAGCGACGCCGCGUGAGUGAAGAAGUAUUUCGGUAUGUAAAGCUCUAUCAGCAGGGAAGAUAAGUACGGUACCUGAGGAAGAAGCCCCGGCUAACGACGGGCCAGCAGCCGCGGGAAUACGUAGGGGGCAAGCGUGAGCCGGAUUUACGGGGUGUAAAGGGAGCGUAGACGGCAUGGCAAGUCUGUAGUGCAAGCCCGGGGCUCCACCGCGGGACUGAUUUGGAAACUGUUACGCUGGAGUGCAUGAGUGCUAAGUGGCAUUCCUAGUGUAGCGGUGAAAUGCGUAUAUAUUAGGAGGAACACCCGUGGCGAAGGCGGCUUACUGGACUGUAACUGACGUUGUGGCUCGAACGCGUGGGGAGCAAACAGGAUUAGAUACCCGGGUAGUC